rnacentral:rRNA from 1 species
UACGAAGGGGGCUAGCGUUGCUCGGAAUCACUGGGCGUAAAGGGUGCGUAGGCGGGUCUUUAAGUCAGGGGUGAAAUCCUGGAGCUCAACUCCAGAACUGCCUUUGAUACUGAAGAACUUGAGUUCGGGAGAGGUGAGUGGAACUGCGAGUGUAGAGGUGAAAUUCGUAGAUAUUCGCAAGAACACCAGUGGCGAAGGCGGCUCACUGGCCCGAUACUGACGCUGAGGCACGAAAGCGUGGGGAGCAAACGGG